GGGCGCAAAGCCCUGCAGGGCCCCUUGCACACUGGGCACCAGGUGAGGCUGGAAGCCAGGCCUCUGCCCCAGCAGAGGAGGUUCUCAGCUCCACUUACCGGCAUGCCAGAGAAGAUGGGGUCUCCCCGAGAGGGGCAGGAGCACUCCCUGGGUCUCCCUGGGAAGUCUCUCCUCGCUGUCCAUCAAGGCCCUGAAGGGAGAGAGCCCAGAGUGAGCAAGACUGAACAGAUGCUGGCCAUCUGGCCUGCCUCGGAGGAGGGCAUUAGGACAAACAGCAGCAGCACCAGGCUCCCAGGCACCCACGUUCUAUAACGAAAGAGAAAGGAGGAGGAGGAAGACUGGCGUUUCCUGUGCACUUUGGGAGCCAGAGACCAAACCAAGAGCCUGUCAAAAAACAGUAAAUGGAACCCCCCAGGCCCAGCCCUGCAGGACCCUGUGGAUCUGUCUUACAGGUGAGGAAACUGAGGCUUAAAGAAGUUCCAUUGUCAGCACAACUGCACCCAGGUUGGUGUGGCCCAGAGCCCCUAACCCCUGUAGUCCCCCUUUAGUGACCAAUACACAUUUUCUCUAUCACAAAAGUUACCUCUGGUGAUGGUGACUGAGCUGAGAAAGAACUUCAGCUCCUAUUUUAUCAAUAAGAAAUUGGAAAAUCUGAGCCACUGUCACUUGCCUAAGGCCACACAGCUAGUAUGGAGUGGGGCUGGGAAGUCUCCCGGAUGGAACUCUGCUUGAGGGGAGGCCUGGAGAGGGCUUCUGGAAGGGACAGCGACUUGAGCAAAGGCCAGAGAGGCCAGCCUGGAUGCAUAGCUGGUGUGCCCACAGCUGCCCUCCUGUGGGACCUUCACAUCUGGGACUCGAAGCUCCCCUGGAAUCAGGACCCCUUCCCUGCCCGGGGCUCCCAGUGGGGACAAAGCAGACUGGUUCCAUGGGCCUGGGCAAAUCCCCUGCCCCCUCUGGGCUUCACUGCGCUCUUGGGAAGAAUUCACCAGUGAUUCACAAACUGGUACAGGAAUUUUCUAGGGACCCACAAAGACAGAAAAAGAUACAGUUCACUGGGCUAUUUUCAACAUUGCCAAAAGCUCAAGAAAAAUUAUACAUUUGCCCACAACCCAGCAUGGCACAGGCUGGCUGAAAGGUGGCAUUCCUUUGAUUUGUGCUAAAAUUAUAUCAUCUUGUAAAAUUCUAGCAGGUUCACUUGGAGUAGAAGCUGACUAUUAGACAGGUUUUUGAUGACUACAAUGAGAAAAUGUGCUUAUUAUUACUUAAUCCAUGCAAUUUGUUCAAUAGACGCAUCUUUUAAACAUGGAAAUCAUUGUCUCGGGCAGCACAGAACAGAAC
rnacentral:lncRNA from 1 species